GACGAACGCUGGCGGCGUGCCUAACACAUGCAAGUCGAGCGGGGAUUUAAGUGGAAGUUCUUCGGAAUGGCGAUUUAAAUUCUAGCGGCGGACGGGUGAGUAACGCGUGAACAAUCUGUCCCGGACAGGGGGAUAACACUUGGAAACAGGUGCUAAUACCGCAUAAGACCACGGCCUCGCAUGGGGCUGAGGUAAAAGGAGCAAUCCGGUUCGGGGUGAGUUCGCGUCCGAUUAGCUAGUUGGUGAGGUAACGGCCCACCAAGGCGACGAUCGGUAGCCGGCCUGAGAGGGUGAACGGCCACAUUGGAACUGAGAGACGGUCCAAACUCCUACGGGAGGCAGCAGUGGGGAAUAUUGGGCAAUGGGCGAAAGCCUGACCCAGCAACGCCGCGUGAGGGAAGAAGGUUUUCGGAUUGUAAACCUCUGUCCUAUGGGACGAAGGAAGUGACGGUACCAUAGGAGGAAGCCCCGGCUAACUACGUG
rnacentral:rRNA from 1 species